rnacentral:rRNA from 1 species
GACGAACGCUGGCGGCGUGCCUAAUACAUGCAAGUCGAACGCUGAAGGAGGAGCUUGCUUCUCUGGAUGAGUUGCGAACGGGUGAGUAACGCGUAGGUAACCUGCCUGGUAGCGGGGGAUAACUAUUGGAAACGAUAGCUAAUACCGCAUAAGAGUAGAUGUCGCAUGACAUUUGCUUAAAAGGUGCAAUUGCAUCACUACCAGAUGGACCUGCGUUGUAUUAGCUAGUUGGUGAGGUAACGGCUCACCAAGGCAACGAUACAUAGCCGACCUGAGAGGGUGAUCGGCCACACUGGGACUGAGACACGGCCCAGACUCCUACGGGAGGCAGCAGUAGGGAAUCUUCGGCAAUGGACGGAAGUCUGACUGAGCAACGCCGCGUGAGUGAAGAAGGUUUUCGGAUCGUAAAGCUCUGUUGUAAGAGAAGAACGAGUGUGAGAGUGGAAAGUUCACACUGUGACGGUAUCUUACCAGAAAGGGACGGCUAACUACGUG